CCUACGGGAGGCAGCAGUAGGGAAUCUUCCACAAUGGGCGAAAGCCUGAUGGAGCAACGCCGCGGGGGUGAAGAAGGUCUUCGGAUCGUAAAACCCUGUUGUUAGAGAAGAAAGUGCAUGAGACUAACUGUUCACGUUUCGACGGUAUCUAACCAGAAAGCCACGGCUAACUACGUGCCAGCAGCCGCGGUAAUACGUAGGUGGCAAGCGUUAUCCGGAUUGAUUGGGAGUAAAGGGAACGCAGGCGGUCUUUUAAGUCUGAUGUGAAAGCCUUCGGCUUAACCGGAGUAGUGCAUUGGAAACUGGGAGACUUGAGUGCAGAAGAGGAGAGUGGAACUCCAUGUGUAGCGGUGAAAUGCGUAGAUAUAUGGAAGAACACCAGUGGCGAAAGCGUCUCUCUGGUCUGUAACUGACGCUGAGGUUCGAAAGCGUGGGUAGCAAACAGGAUUAGAUACCCGAGUAGUC
rnacentral:rRNA from 1 species